UCCCCUAGUAACUGCGAGUGAAGCGGGAAAAGCUCAAAUUUAAAAUCUGGCGGUCUUUGGCCGUCCGAGUUGUAAUCUAGAGAAGUGUUAUCCGCGCUGGACCGUGUACAAGUCUCCUGGAAUGGAGCGUCAUAGAGGGUGAGAAUCCCGUCUUUGACACGGACUGCCAGGGCUUUGUGAUGCGCUCUCAAAGAGUCGAGUUGUUUGGGAAUGCAGCUCAAAAUGGGUGGUAAAUUCCAUCUAAAGCUAAAUAUUGGCGAGAGACCGAUAGCGAACAAGUACCGUGAGGGAAAGAUGAAAAGAACUUUGGAAAGAGAGUUAAACAGUACGUGAAAUUGCUGAAAGGGAAACGCUUGAAGUCAGUCGCGUUGGCCGGGGAUCAACCUUGCUUUUGCUGGGCGUACUUUCCGGUUGACGGGUCAGCAUCAAUUUUGACCGUUGGAUAAAGUCCAGGGGAAUGUGGCAUCUUCGGAUGUGUUAUAGCCCUUGGUCGCAUACAACGGUUGGGAUUGAGGAACUCAGCACGCCGAAAGGCCGGGUACUUGUACCACGUUCGUGCUUAGGAUGCUGGCAUAAUGGCUUUAAUCGACCCGUCUUGAAACACGGACCAAGGAGUCUAACAUGCCUGCGAGUGUUUGGGUGGAAAACUCGGACGCGCAAUGAAAGUGAAAGUUGAGAUCCCUGUCGCGGGGAGCAUCGACGCCCGGACCAGACCUUUUGUGACGGAUCCGCGGUAGAGCAUGUAUGUUGGGACCCGAAAGAUGGUGAACUAUGCCUGAAUAGGGUGAAGCCAGAGGAAACUCUGGUGGAGGCUCGUAGCGAUUCUGACGUGCAAAUCGAUCGUCAAAUUUGGGUAUAGGG
rnacentral:rRNA from 1 species